AGCGAACGCUGGCGGCAGGCUUAACACAUGCAAGUCGAACGGGCAUAGCAAUAUGUCAGUGGCAGACGGGUGCGUAACGCGUGGGAACGUACCUUUUGGUUCCGAACAACACAGGGAAACUUGUGCUAAUACCGGAUAAGCCCUUACGGGGAAAGAUUUAUCGCCGAAAGAUCGGCCCGCGUCUGAUUAGCUAGUUGGUAGGGUAAUGGCCUACCAAGGCGACGAUCAGUAGCUGGUCUGAGAGGAUGAUCAGCCACAUUGAGACUGAGACACGGCCCAAACUCCUGCGGGAGGCAGCAGUGGGGAAUAUUGGACAAUGGGCGAAAGCCUGAUCCAGCCAUGCCGCGUGAGUGAUGAAGGCCCUAGGGUUGUAAAGCUCUUUUGAGCGGGAAGAUAAUGACGGUACCGAAAGAAUAAGCCCCGGCUAACUUCGUG
rnacentral:rRNA from 1 species